CUGACUGCUAUCGGAUUGAUACUAAGCCAUGCGAGUCUUUGUAGUAAUACAAGGCAGACGGCUCAGUAACACGUAGUCAACCUACCCUAUGGACAAGAAUAAUCUCGGGAAACUGGGCAUAAUUCUUGAUAGAUCAUAAUGCCUGGAAUGGUUUAUGGUUAAAAUGAUUCGUCGCCAUAGGAUGGGACUGCGGCCUAUCAGCUUGUUGGUGAGGUAAUGGCCCACCAAGGCGAUUACAGGUACGGGCUCUGAGAGGAGAAGCCCGGAGAUGGGUACUGAGACACGGACCCAGGCCCUAUGGGGCGCAGCAGGCGAGAAAACUUUGCAAUGUGCGAAAGCACGACAAGGUUAAUCCGAGUGAUUUCUGCUAAAGAAAUCUUUUGCCAGUCAUAAAACCACUGGUGAAUAAGGAGUGGGCAAGUUCUGGUGUCAGCCACCGCGGUAAAACCAGCACCUCAAGUGGUCAGGAUGAUUAUUGGGCCUAAAGCAUCCGUAGCCGGCUUUGUAAGUUUUCGGUUAAAUCCAUGUGCUCAACGCAUGGGCUGCCGAAAAUACUGCAUGGCUAGGGAGUGGGAGAGGUAGACGGUACUCAGUAGGAAGGGGUAAAAUCCUUUGAUCUAUUGAUGACCACCUGUGGCGAAGGCGGUCUACCAGAACACGUUCGACGGUGAGGGAUGAAAGCUGGGGGAGCAAACCGGAUUAGAUACCCGGGUAGUCCCAGCUGUAAACGAUGCAGACUCGAUGAUGCAUUGGCAUAAUAGCCAGUGCAGUGUCGCAGGGAAGCCGUUAAGUCUGCCGCCUGGGAAGUACGUACGCAAGUAUGAAACUUAAAGGAUUGGCGGGGGAGCACCACAAGGGGUGAAGCCUGCGGUUCA
rnacentral:rRNA from 1 species